AGGAAUCUGCCUGGUAGUGGGGGACAACGUUUCGAAAGGAACGCUAAUACCGCAUACGUCCUACGGGAGAAAGCAGGGGACCUUCGGGCCUUGCGCUAUCAGAUGAGCCUAGGUCGGAUUAGCUAGUUGGUGAGGUAAUGGCUCACCAAGGCGACGAUCCGUAACUGGUCUGAGAGGAUGAUCAGUCACACUGGAACUGAGACACGGUCCAGACUCCUACGGGAGGCAGCAGUGGGGAAUAUUGGACAAUGGGCGAAAGCCUGAUCCAGCCAUGCCGCGUGUGUGAAGAAGGUCUUCGGAUUGUAAAGCACUUUAAGUUGGGAGGAAGGGCAGUAAGCGAAUACCUUGCUGUUUUGACGUUACCGACAGAAUAAGCACCGGCUAACUCUGUGCCAGCAGCCGCGGUAAUACAGAGGGUGCAAGCGUUAAUCGGAAUUACUGGGCGUAAAGCGCGCGUAGGUGGUUUGUUAAGUUGGAUGUGAAAUCCCCGGGCUCAACCUGGGAACUGCAUCCAAAACUGGCAAGCUAGAGUACAGUAGAGGGUGGUGGAAUUUCCUGU
rnacentral:rRNA from 1 species